ACUACUCUGUUAUUUUCAUUUCUUUGGGGAUAAAUUUUCCUCUGAUUUUGUUCUUCUUUCAUAUUAGUUUCCCUCAUAUUUCUGAGUAUAUAAGCUCAUCCCUUCUUCAUCUGGGGAUUUUCUCCUUUGCCUCCCCAGGUCCUCUGGGUCUCCUGGUCUAGAAUCAAAUCUUACAGUAGCAACUUAGCUUAGCUCCAGGCCCUGUCUCCCUAAGUAAGCAUCUUUCCUUCAUAUAGUAGGCAUCAAAGAAUAUUUGUUCAACUGAAUAUCAUCUGUCUAUAUAACCCCAUGGUUAUGAAGAAGCAGGAGAAAUACUGGUAAUGAAAAAAUGCCUUGAAACCACUUUGACAAAUCAUUGUGUAAGCAUGCAGAUGAAAGUGAUCAUUUAAUCAAGCCUCACUCUUUCAGGUUUCACAUUCUAGAAGUGAAAGUUUUCUCUAACUUCUCUUGGCCCACCAAGAACUAUGAGGCCUCAGGUGCAAACCAGAUUUCACAAGCUGGAGGCAACAGGAAAGGUGAGUGCAUAAAAGCCAAAGAAGCUUCCUAGACAGAGGGAAGGGCUGACGUGGUGUGCUCUCAAGUUUCCGGCAGCAGAGACACUCCAGGGCAGUUAGGAUGGGCCGCUCCCCUCAGCACCACAGGUUGCCAGUAAAGUCCCUCCUCCCUACCUCAGACUCCUCAGAUCUCACCACAUUCACUCCAGUUCAAAGUCCCUUUCCAGUCAACCCUCCCCAAAUGAAGAAAGUGCCUAGAAAAACUUGGCUUCACAUUCUGGCUUUGCCACUUGUCAGCUAUGAACCAUUUCACCUCUCUGAUAUGAGCCCUUAUCUGUAAAGUUUGAGGUCACCUAUUUUGGAGGGUGUUGGAAGGAUAAGGGCUGCAAAGUUCCCAGCUCAGCACCUGUGCUCCUGGGUUGGGCAGGCUGAGGGCCAGUUCUGUUAGUCCAGACCCAGCUCAGCCAACUCUGGGGUGCAGCCUCAUAACGCUGCACAAGCACCAUGGGUUCCUCAGCACACCUCUCCCCAUGGCAGCACCACCAGCGUCUUGCUCCAGAGCUUCCUUCUCUGCCUAACCACAGGCACUACUCCCACGGUGGCAGCUUCCAGGGAGGUGGAGUGGGCAGUGUAGACCUGGAGUGUCAGAGCCAGCUCUGCCCCAAGGACCUUCACCUCCAGGCUGUGUCCAUCCUGUGGCAGAGUUUGUGGGUCAAGGAGCCUGUUACCUGUCCCCCCUACACAGAACAGAGGCCUGCCCUGAGCCAGUUCUAAACAGCUCACCAAAGUCCAUCCCAUACUUGGCCACCUCUGUGGCUCUCUAGACACAGGUUGGCAGCAAGAUUCUAGAAAAGACAAAGUUAAUAAAGAGUUCCACCACAGGGCUGAAAGCCUCAGAGAGGCAGGAAAUGGGUGGAAGACCCCAAAGAGAAGAGACUGGAAAAGAAAUCUAAGUUUCUCUGGGGACUUCUGGAGGAAGCAGGGAGUGGGAUGAAUAAACGGUGGCCCAGAGCAAGACAGAGAACCUGAGGUCUAGACCUUAUUGCCCAAUGCUGCCUCCCAAGGGCAAUUAAACUUGACCCCACCACCUCCAAGGGUCAGGGGACUAUGAUGCUUAGAGUCUGCUCUGAUUCCCUUUAAAGAUACGGUUCAAAGUGCCAGGUGGCUUGGCUAUUCAUCAGUGUUGAAGAUUCAGAUCUCAGACAUACCAGAGAUGUAUAAUGAAGAGCUGCAGAAAAGCUGCCGGGCCCUCCUUUUCCUUCUGCAACUUGCCUGGAUGUCUGGGGGUGUAUUUUGAAUCUCAAGAGAAAACAGAGGAUAUGUUCAUUCAUUCAACAAAUAUUUAUUGCACGAGGGAGUGGCAGACUCCAACCCUCAUCUCCCAGGCCAGCAAUGGGCUCUCCCUCUUUGUACAGCUACAUCGCUGACCCCUUAGCAAAGCCCUUCUCCCUGGCCUUGCAGCUCCCACUCUGUCAAGGAGCAAGUAAUGGGCUCCUCUGUUAAGAGGACUCUCCACAAGCCCCUCCAGCCUGGUUUUGCCAGCCCCCCCCCCCCCACCAGGAGGGCUGCCCUUCCAAGGUUAUGUCAAGGGCAGCUGACCCCAGUGACCAGCAUUCCAGGUCCCAACUGUUGGCCCCUCCCUCUAAGAGCAGGGAGCUGGUGACAUAUUUCCAGGGCAUAUCCCAGAGGCCUUCAGAGGGGCAAAACCAGAGUAAUAUACAGAGUCAUACCCACCAGCUAGAACACUGGUGGUGGGCACAGCUGAUGGCUUCAAGAAUGAAGAGGUGAGUCCAUCUUCAACUUAUAGACCCUUGGGAAAGGGACGAUGCUUCCCAUCCAACUCUUUUAUUAUUUUUUUUUCUUUUUAGGGCCACACCUGCAACAUAUGGAAGUUCCCAGGACAGGUGUCAAAUCAAUAGCUGCAGUUGCCAGCCUAUACCACAGCCACAGCAACUCCAGGUCUCAGCCGCAUCUGUGGCCUAUGCUCAUGGCAACACCGGAUCCUUAACCCACUGUGCGAGGCCAGAGAUCAAACCUGCAUCCUCAUGGAUACCAGUCAGGUUCUUAACCUGCUGAGCCAUAAUGGGACCUCCCCUGCCCAACACAUUCUUAUGAAAGAGAGCCCUGCUUGCUCUUCUCAGAAACACAGUUUAAUUCAAUCCUCCUCAAUGCUGGCUCCCCCAAAUGCACACACAUCCUCUACCCUGGGUUGGGUGGACUAGCACCGGUUUGACAGGUUAGUAGAGUCUCACUGAACUGCACUGCCCUUGCCAGAACUGGGUGAAAGGGAAGGUUAAAUGGUUUUUCCAGGUAACCUUCAACCCCUCCUCCCCAACCCAUACACCCAUGUGGCAGGGGACCAACCAGUGGAAACUUGGCCCACUACAUCCAGACACCUUCCUAGGACAGCGAACGCAGACUCAAAAGGAAGCUCCAGGGCUCAGGGCAAAGGGCAAAUGCUGUCCUAAAGGAGCUGUGAUUCAGACAAAAGGCAGAGCGAGGCAGGGCCCAUCCUCCUUAACCCCCAACCAGCCCUCUUAGAUAGCAAGCCCAGGAAUUCCUGAAUCUCAUCACUCCCUCCCUCACCUCUGGGGAGGAGCCAGGACUGGUGCUUCUGCCCUUGCUCGCCCCUUCCCAAGCCUGCUCCGUGGCUGCGUGGGUCCUGGACUGGGUUCUCCUCCCUGCACUAUGGGCACUGGAAGGCUGCCCACCCUGAAGAAGGCUGAUGGAGAGGGGCUGAGCUAGGGUCUAUACAAGUCCUGCCAGUGCCCACCUAGGGAAGGGAGAAGCUGUGCUUCUAGAAGCUUCCAGGUCACAAUCUCUGUGGCUCAAAACACCAGCCAGGCCUUAGCCCAGGCCCAGAGAUGAAAGAUUCAACUUAAAACUCCAGCAUUGAUGCCCACAUCCUCUGUGGGAUGGGGGAACGGGACAAAGAAUGCGAGGGAAGAAGUCAUAACCUAACCCCCCCGCACUGUGACCCUGCAGGAAAGGGGCCCAGGGAGCAGGGUGAUGGGUGCUUUGCUGACAAGGCUGCAGGACUGCAGUCUAUGCAGUCACUGCAUAUGCAGGACCCAGCAGGAAGGACUCCAGGCCGUCAACAACCAGAUAGCAGACACCAGCUCUUCCUGGGCCUACUGGGAUGGGCUUGGCCCAAAGCUCCAACCCCUUAGAACAAGCUCCAGCCCCUGAGAAGGCUGACAGAGCUCCUGGGACGUGAGGGUCCGGAAGCGAUGCUCCAGUUCUGGGAUUCUCCCUCUCCAGCUCCGGGCAAAGUCAGAGGUACAUACUCACUAGAGCCAGCAUCAUACUUGCAGGUACAGGUGAGAACAGGGCCCUCUGCCCUCAGCCCAGGACCUCUUCCCCUGGGGUGGUAUGACCUCUGGCUGGAACUUUUCAAACCUCAUGGCCCCUUUUCAAACCCUGCAGGUAAAAGGUCUGCCAGAGCCUCUGGGACCAGGCAAUGCCAUCAAGUUGACAUCCCAGGUAACAGCCAUGGAGACCUACUUUCUCAGGGUAAAUGUCUCUAAAGAGUUCCAACCUACAGCCAGCUCUAAGUGUUGGCCAACAACCCCCCUUUUUCUAUCCACCCUGCCCCCACAUUUCCUUGUCAGGUGACGGUUCUUUUGAUAUUUUGUGGCUUCAUCAGAACACUGGGUAUGAAAUGGGAGUACUGAGCAUGCUGUCAGGCUCCAGGGCCCCAUUCACAUGCCAGACAGGAUGGAGAGGUGGGGCUGUGGGUUGGAAACUCUACAUUGUGGUCAGGCGUUUAUCUCCUCCCUUUAUCAAGACCAGAUGACUUCAAAGUGUUCUUUUGUAUUUUUUUAAACCAGAACAAUCUUUUCCCCCAACGCACUCCAUCAACCAGGCCAGCUUAUCAGUUUCUAUUCUUAUGGCCCAGUGGGAAGAAGGAGCCAGGUGGUGAGGCUUAUACAACUCCUGCCAAGAUCAGAUGCUGGAGAACCAUCAGCCCUUCAUGGCAGCUUGUGGGCUAAGCUGGGGCCUGAGCUCCAUGUCAGGAGAUGGUUCCCAUUAUAAGGCUUACCAAGAAUAAUAAGGUGGCACUGUUAUAGGUAUAGUCAUGGAGGUGCCAGUUCCCUGGGGGACCUCGGGAAGGAGCCAUACUCCCUCACAGCCAAUCGGCAGAGAGGAGGGUGGGACAGGCACUGGGCCAGGAGGUGGCCCAUCUGCUCUGGAGAGGACUCAUAGUGGUAUGGGCCCCAGGGGUCCUUAGACAGGGAGACAGGUCAGGCCAGGCAGCAAGGCAUGCAGAGGUGCACUGGCCCUAGGGGAGUGUACCCCGAAAAUCCUGGAAACAAGCCAGCAACCUGUACUUUGUGAGCCAGGAUGUUUUUAUUCUUCGUGCACCCUAUCUUUAGCUUUCUUUUGUUCCCUUUUAUAUUUAGUAAUGUCUUUUGGAAAGGUCAGCCUGUGGCAGUUAUGCUAAUGAAAACCCAAAGGAGGUGUCUGCAUCCACGCCUAGACCAGGAGAUUAAAGGAAGCUAUGUCCCCUCUCUCCCCAGGGAGUGGAAGUAGAGAGAAGCCCAGAAGUGAGCCCCUUGCUCAGCCAGUGUCCUCUGGAGUCAUCUUUCCAAAAGAGAUCUUGGGAGUUACAGUUAGAAGCCCUGAGCUUGUGCCCAGGCUGGUGCCAUGGGGUAACUUCCAGCACCAACCCCACAGGAAGCAUCCCUACCAUUCAGCCCGUCACUACCAUUCAGCUCCAGGAGGCAGAGAGCAGGUAGAUGGUAAACUAGAGAGGCCAGCACACACCUGCUUUCGUUCCUCCCUUGCUUUGCUGAGCCACCUUCCUCGUCACUGAGGACCUGAUGAUACGCUGUGACUGACUCGGGCAGGACCCCUGGCAAGAAAGAACACCCCCAAGGUUGCUAGGGAGGUAAUCUACUUUACCACCUCAAGAAAGUGACAGUAUCAGCUGCCAUGAAGAAAGCCAAGGCAGCCUUCCCCCUGCCCUGCCCCUCAUGCCCGGGUGAGGGGGGCGAGAGUGGGGGAACAAGGAGUCCUCCAGACCCAUCCUCAAAGAGUGAAUCAUCUGCCUGAAACUGGCCCAAGUUAGCCACUUCCUGCUAAACUGAUAUCCAUCAUGACAUGCAUUACUGUCGGCAAGUUUGGUGAGAUGAGGAGGAGAGGAAGACGCAGAGGGGGUCCAUCACGACCGUCCCCAGGGACAGUAUCUUUUGUCUGGCUUUAUGACAAACCCUGGGGUGACAAGGGGAUGGCCAACAGGAUGGCGCCUGUCUGGGGUUGUGCAGGGGUGACAUGGAGGCCAUGAAGAGGUGGGGGCCAGGGCCUCCUUUCAAGCCCGUUGGGGCAUCCCCACCACAACAUGCAUCUAUGAAUUAACGUUUUACAGGGAACUCUGGACUAAAGCCACAUGAUCUCGAUUCCCAGACUGGCUCUGCUAUUUGACAGUUAUGCGUCUAAGCAAAUCGUACCUCUCUGGGCCUCAGGUGCUCCAUCUGUAAAAUGGGUGUGAUGAUGUCUGCCCUGCUCACCUCAGUCCCCUUUGAGAUGAAAUAUGUGGUGACUAAGCUGUAAAGCUCUAUGUAUUACUGAGUUUCAGCCUCACAGAGAGGAGGGAGGCAGGGACAAGAGGAGACACCAUGGCUAAGCCUGAGGGAAGAGAAGGUCUGACCCAGGCUGGCUGAGUUCUGAGAACACGGCCCCAGACAGAAACAGGUGGACCAGGGAGCCUGUGGGCCAAGCAUGCGGGGCAGAUAGAGUGCUCUGGCCAGUCUGAGGUGGCAGACAGUUCAGGAGAGAAGACUGGCUGUCAGCAAAUAUUUGAAGGGCAGGAGGAAAGAUGCAUGAGGUGACGGUCAGAAUGAAAGAGAAAUUCAGUCCCAAUGUCAGAAGAGCUGUGCCUUGCUCACUGAGCACCAAGGAGCAGGGGAGAAGCUCCCAAGCUGCCAGGGCCUCCAGCAUCUUGUUAAUAUACACCUCACACUCACAGGGACAGCCUUUCCUUUCUGACCAGAGGCUCCAGGAGAGUGACACACUCCAGGCAAGAAGCCUGUGUCAGACUGAACUUGAGGUCUCUUCUUGUUAAGGUGGGGGAUCAAAGCCCAGAGCUCUUUCUCCAACACCCCAUUCUUGGCUCUGCCAAGCUGGGUCAAACAUCUAUAUCCUCAGAAACUGGAGGUGAUGGGUGAACUGAGAUCAAAAUCACACUAUCUGUCUGUCAUACAUGAAACUGGCACCACUGACGUGGGUAUUCUCUUCCAAGGGAGAAGCCAGAAGAAUACAACCCUCCCCAGCAGGAAAUACCCCAACAAACCCAGAAAGCACAGCAGCCCUAGAGCUGCCUCCUUAUCCAGGCCCCAGCAGGAAACCAUAUGGAGGUGGGAGCUCCUGCUGUGGCCCAGCAGUAACAAGCCAGACUAGUAUCCACAAGGACAUGGGUGCAAUCCCUGGCCUUGCUCAGUAGGUUUAGGAUCUGGCAUUGCUGUGAGCUGUGGUGAAGGUCGCACAUGUGGCUCAGAUCUGGCAUUGCUGUGGCUGUAGUGUAGGCUGGUGGAUGUAGCUCCAAUUCAACCCCUAUCCUGGGAACUUCCACAUGCCUUGGGUGUGGCCCUAAAAAGACAAACAAACAAACAAAAAACAAUACCGAGGAGGCUGAACAUUCAGGAAGCUGAGGUGACAGGGGAGAAGAAGGGAGGGAACAGAGGCAGCACCAGGGCAGAAGUGGUCAGAGUUGGAC
rnacentral:lncRNA from 1 species